rnacentral:rRNA from 1 species
UUAAGCGACUAAGCGUACACGGUGGAUGCCCUGGCAGUCAGAGGCGAUGAAGGGCGUGCUAAUCUGCGAUAAGCGCCGGUAAGGUGAUAUGAACCGUUAUAACCGGCGAUACCCGAAUGGGGAAACCCAGUGUGACUCGUCACACUAUCAUUAACUGAAUCCAUAGGUUAAUGAGGCGAACCGGGGGAACUGAAACAUCUAAGUACCCCGAGGAAAAGAAAUCAACCGAGAUUCCCCCAGUAGCGGCGAGCGAACGGGGAGGAGCCCAGAGCCUGAAUCAGCAUGUGUGUUAGUGGAAGCGUCUGGAAAGGCGCGCGAUACAGGGUGACAGCCCCGUACACAAAAGCGCAUGUGCUGUGAGCUCGAUGAGUAGGGCGGGACACGUGGUAUCCUGUCUGAAUAUGGGGGGACCAUCCUCCAAGGCUAAAUACUCCUGACUGACCGAUAGUGAACCAGUACCGUGAGGGAAAGGCGAAAAGAACCCCGGCGAGGGGAGUGAAAAAGAACCUGAAACCGUGUACGUACAAGCAGUGGGAGCACCCUUCGGGGUGUGACUGCGUACCUUUUGUAUAAUGGGUCAGCGACUUAUAUUCUGUAGCAAGGUUAACCGUAUAGGGGAGCCGGAGGGAAACCGAGUCUUAAUUGGGCGUUAAGUUGCAGGGUAUAGACCCGAAACCCGGUGAUCUAGCCAUGGGCAGGUUGAAGGUUGGGUAACACUAACUGGAGGACCGAACCGACUAAUGUUGAAAAAUUAGCGGAUGACCUGUGGCUGGGGGUGAAAGGCCAAUCAAACCGGGAGAUAGCUGGUUCUCCCCGAAAGCUAUUUAGGUAGCGCCUCGUGAAUUCAUCUCCGGGGGUAGAGCACUGUUUCGGCUAGGGGGCCAUCCCGGCUUACCAACCCGAUGCAAACUGCGAAUACCGGAGAAUGUUAUCACGGGAGACACACGGCGGGUGCUAACGUCCGUCGUGAAGAGGGAAACAACCCAGACCGCCAGCUAAGGUCCCAAAGUCAUGGUUAAGUGGGAAACGAUGUGGGAAGGCCCAGACAGCCAGGAUGUUGGCUUAGAAGCAGCCAUCAUUUAAAGAAAGCGUAAUAGCUCACUGGUCGAGUCGGCCUGCGCGGAAGAUGUAACGGGGCUAAACCAUGCACCGAAGCUGCGGCAGCGAACGUAUCACCCAAGACAACUUUACGGAGUUGACGAUUGACGGAGCGAAGCGACGUCAAAGCGUUCAUUAAAGUCGAGUUGGCUUAGGGAUACGUUCGUUGGGUAGGGGAGCGUUCUGUAAGCCUGUGAAGGUGUGUCGUGAGGCAUGCUGGAGGUAUCAGAAGUGCGAAUGCUGACAUAAGUAACGAUAAAGCGGGUGAAAAGCCCGCUCGCCGGAAGACCAAGGGUUCCUGUCCAACGUUAAUCGGGGCAGGGUGAGUCGACCCCUAAGGCGAGGCCGAAAGGCGUAGUCGAUGGGAAACGGGUUAAUAUUCCCGUACUUGGUGUUACUGCGAAGGGGGGACGGAGAAGGCUAUGUUGGCCGGGCGACGGUUGUCCCGGUUUAAGCGUGUAGGUGUGUGUUCCAGGUAAAUCCGGUUCACUUUAACACUGAGGCGUGACGACGAGGCACUACGGUGCUGAAGCAACAAAUGCCCUGCUUCCAGGAAAAGCCUCUAAGCAUCAGGUAACACGAAAUCGUACCCCAAACCGACACAGGUGGUCAGGUAGAGAAUACCAAGGCGCUUGAGAGAACUCGGGUGAAGGAACUAGGCAAAAUGGUGCCGUAACUUCGGGAGAAGGCACGCUGACACGUAGGUGAAGUGAUUUACUCAUGGAGCUGAAGUCAGUCGAAGAUACCAGCUGGCUGCAACUGUUUAUUAAAAACACAGCACUGUGCAAACACGAAAGUGGACGUAUACGGUGUGACGCCUGCCCGGUGCCGGAAGGUUAAUUGAUGGGGUCAGCGCAAGCGAAGCUCCUGAUCGAAGCCCCGGUAAACGGCGGCCGUAACUAUAACGGUCCUAAGGUAGCGAAAUUCCUUGUCGGGUAAGUUCCGACCUGCACGAAUGGCGUAAUGAUGGCCAGGCUGUCUCCACCCGAGACUCAGUGAAAUUGAACUCGCUGUGAAGAUGCAGUGUACCCGCGGCAAGACGGAAAGACCCCGUGAACCUUUACUAUAGCUUGACACUGAACAUUGAGCCUUGAUGUGUAGGAUAGGUGGGAGGCUUUGAAGUGUGGACGCCAGUCUGCAUGGAGCCGACCUUGAAAUACCACCCUUUAAUGUUUGAUGUUCUAACGUGGACCCGUAAUCCGGGUUGCGGACAGUGUCUGGUGGGUAGUUUGACUGGGGCGGUCUCCUCCUAAAGAGUAACGGAGGAGCACGAAGGUUGGCUAAUCCUGGUCGGACAUCAGGAGGUUAGUGCAAUGGCAUAAGCCAGCUUGACUGCGAGCGUGACGGCGCGAGCAGGUGCGAAAGCAGGUCAUAGUGAUCCGGUGGUUCUGAAUGGAAGGGCCAUCGCUCAACGGAUAAAAGGUACUCCGGGGAUAACAGGCUGAUACCGCCCAAGAGUUCAUAUCGACGGCGGUGUUUGGCACCUCGAUGUCGGCUCAUCACAUCCUGGGGCUGAAGUAGGUCCCAAGGGUAUGGCUGUUCGCCAUUUAAAGUGGUACGCGAGCUGGGUUUAGAACGUCGUGAGACAGUUCGGUCCCUAUCUGCCGUGGGCGCUGGAGAACUGAGGGGGGCUGCUCCUAGUACGAGAGGACCGGAGUGGACGCAUCACUGGUGUUCGGGUUGUCAUGCCAAUGGCACUGCCCGGUAGCUAAAUGCGGAAGAGAUAAGUGCUGAAAGCAUCUAAGCACGAAACUUGCCCCGAGAUGAGUUCUCCCUGAGACUUAGAGUCUCCUGAAGGAACGUUGAAGACGACGACGUUGAUAGGCCGGGUGUGUAAGCGCAGCGAUGCGUUGAGCUAACCGGUACUAAUGAACCGUGAGGCUUAACCUU